rnacentral:rRNA from 1 species
GAAGACCCCAUGGAGCUUUAAACCUAGCCACACCCAGAAUCUUUAUACCUAACUAUUAUCUGAACCCUGUAAGCUAGGCUUUAGGUUGGGGUGACCGCGGAGUAAAACAAAACCUCCGCAAUGAACGAAACUACCGUCUUAUCUAAGAAUAACCCCUCUAAGAAUUAGCACUCUAACAUAAAUGAUCCAAUUAUUGAUCAACGGACCAAGUUACCCUGGGGAUAACAGCGCAAUCCACUUCAAGAGCUCCUAUCGA